GUUCCAGUUGGUCCUGUUUCAGUUGGUCCAGUUCCAGUUGGCCCAGUUACUGUAGGCCCGGUUCCAGUUGGUCCAGUUACUGUAGGUCCUGUUUCGGUUGGUCCUGUUCCAGUUUGCCCAGUUCCAGUUGGACCUGUUACUGUAGGUCCAGUUACUGUAGGUCCUGUUCCAGUUGGUCCUGUUCCAGUUGGUCCUGUUCCAGUUGGUCCAGUUACUGUAGGUCCUGUUCCAGUUGGUCCAGUUACUGUAGGUCCAGUUCCAGUUGGUCCAGUUCCAGUUGGACCAGUUACUGUAGGUCCUGUUCCUGUUGGUCCUGUUCCAGUUGGUCCAGUUCCAGUUGGUCCAGUUACUGUAGGUCCU